GACACUCCCCCCGCCCUCUCUGUCUCCUCGGCCCUGGGAGCAGCUCUCCUGCCGCAGCCCCUCAUUCCCUGAAAAUGUACACCUGUGCAAAGUUCGUCUCCACCCCGUUCUUGGUCAGGAGCACCUCUCAGCUUUUGAGCCGAUCACUGUCUGCAGUGGUGCUAAAACCACCCGAGACACUGACAGAUGAGGCACCUUAUAAGGGCUUCAGCAUCUUGGCAGCCCCACGUCCCCUGACCUCACUUAUUCCUAGCCGAAGCUUCCAAACCAGUGCCAUUUCAAGGGACAUCGAUACAGCAGCCAAGUUCAUUGGGGCUGGGGCUGCCACAGUAGGGGUGGCUGGCUCUGGGGCUGGAAUUGGGACUGUGUUUGGGAGCCUCAUCAUUGGUUAUGCCAGGAAUCCCUCUCUGAAGCAACAGCUCUUCUCCUACGCCAUUCUGGGCUUUGCCCUCUCGGAGGCCAUGGGGCUCUUUUGCCUGAUGGUGGCCUUUCUCAUCCUCUUCGCCAUGUGAAGGAGCCGUCUCCACCUCCCAUAGGUCUUUCUCUCGUGUCUCGUCUGCCCUGUAUAAUCCUUUUCCUAUACCUCCCCAGGCAGCCUGGGGAAAGUGGUUGGCUCAGGGUUUGACAGAGGGAAGACAAAUAAAUACUGUAUUAAUAAGAAAAAAAAAA